rnacentral:rRNA from 1 species
UAGUCCACGCCGUAAACGAUGUUAACUGGGUUUUUGGGAUUUAUUUCCAGGAGCCUGAGGGAAACCAUUAAGUUAACCACCUGGGGAGUACGUUCGCAAGUAUGAAACUCAAAGGAAUUGACGGGGGCCCGCACAAGCGGUGGAGCAUGUGGUUUAAUUCGAUGCAACGCGAAGAACCUUACCAGGUCUUGACAUACAGCGAACUUUCCAGAGAUGGAUUGGUACCUUCGGGAACGCUGAUACAGGUGCUGCAUGGCUGUCGUCAGCUCGUGUCGUGAGACGUUGGGUUAAGUCCCGUAACGAGCGCAACCCUUGUCCUUAGUUGCCAGCACAUAAUGGUGGGAACUCUAGGGAGACUGCCGGUGACAAACCGGAGGAAGGUGGGGACGACGUCAAGUCAUCAUGGCCCUUACGACCUGGGGCUACACACGUGCUACAAUGGGAACGCACAGAGGGGCAGCAAACCCGCGAGGGGGAGCGAAUCCCACAAAACGUUUCG